ensembl:lncRNA
GCUUGGCUUCUGUACCCAACAUCCUGUUCAGCCAGGAGCUGGAGAUCGAGCAGGCUUUGCAGUGUGUCCCCAAAUACCCCCCAGGUGACAAUACCUGGAAGGUUGCUUCUCAGUUUGCAGCCAAUAUCUUGGGCCUCUUGAUACCAUUUAGCAUCCUCUUUUGCUGCUACACUCAGAUACUAAAAAACCUCCAAAAAUGCAAAAACCGGAACAAGGUCAAGGCGAUCAAGAUGAUCUUCAUCAUUGUCAUUGUUUUCUUCCUUUUCUGGACUCCUUUCAACAUCGCGCUGUUCCUGGACUCUCUGCAGAGCCUGCACAUCAUCAAUGACUGCAAGGCGAGCUCCCAGAUAGCUCUGGCCCUGCAGCUGACAGAAACCAUCUCCUUCAUCCACUGCUGCCUGAACCCCAUCAUCUAUGCCUUCGCUGGCGUGACAUUCAAGGCCCAUCUUAAAGGACUCCUUCAGUCCUGCGGUCGUGUCCUCUCCAGCCCUGCCGGAGGUGCCGGGGCUGGACAGUCGAUUUCGGUGCCCACCCAGCUCUCUGGCUGGUCUGACAGUGCAGGGGUCAUGUGAGCCCGCCUGAGCCACCUUCUGCUGUUGCGAGGGGCUGGCCAAAGUUCUGCUGUGGUCCUGGAGGUCGUACCAUGUGUGCAUCAUCCCCUGGGAGGUGCAGUAGACCUGUGCCUCCCGUUGGGACAUGCUGUCACCUGCCAUGUAAGAACUUGUGACAUUGAUUUCCCAAGAGAAACGGUGCAUUUUUGAAAUGAUCAUACAUUGCCGCAGAAUAAUUUUUAAUUACGUUUUAGAGCUCCUUUAGUACACAUCAGCAAGCAGGCUGCUUAGUCUAGUAUCUAUUUGCUCCUCUGACAAAAGCGACGCUUCUGCCUCGCCCCCAAGUAUGCUGUGCCUUGUGGAAGCUGAAUCCCUACAUCCCUGGGACAAGCGUGUGACACCCCUCUGGAAAGGGGGAAGUGGACAGGCAUGGGAUUGCCUCACAUUGCAAAGAGGGAAUCACCUCAGACACUGCCACAGUUUCCCCUUUGCCUCAGAUCCCAGGUGAAAAACCCCCUCAGCUCAGCACCCUGUUUGUUGUGGGAUGGUCCCAGAGGCACAGCCCUGGAAUCCUUGGAACUGCUGCCACCCAGAGCAGUCUUUGACAGCAAUGCCUCCAAAAAUGACAAAGCAAUGGCUCCAGGUGGUCCCUACACUGGUCACACUUGGAGGCUCCCACACUUGAGAACGUCCUCAGAGCAGGUGGGGGCUCUGCAUCACCUCUGGAGCUGUGGGAGCUCCAACUCUGUGCCUGCAGCCCUCGCUGCGAAAUGUAACCAUCAUAAAAUUACUUGUAGCAAAGUAGGCUCCAACUCUUUUCCCAAAUGUCUUUAUUUUCUGCCAUUUUAAAAAUGCUUUCUUCUAGUAAACAUUAGCUACAUCUUUUUUUGUCUUGGUUCUUGAUAGUCUGCCUAAUGACUCACAAGCCUCUAUUAGGGUAAGGAAACUUUGAGUGCGCAUUUUGGAAUGGGUGUCACAUAAAUGCAUCUGAUGGAAUUUAGAGGCACCCUGAAACUCUUCAGCAAAAUAAGUCUUAUCUCCACUUUUCUGCUGAGGAAGCUUUGUUCUCCAAAUCCCAGUAAAUAUUCACAGGGAAAAAAAUAACAUUUAUAUUGAGGUAGUGAUACUGCAAACAUAUUUUUAAAGCUAAUCAAGAGGACACCUGAAAUCAGGGAAAACACAACCUGGAUAUUGUCAAAGAUUUUUAUUUUUUAAGAUAAUAAAAUUUUUAAAUAUUUUCCUAAUUCUACCUUUCCUUUUGAAAAUAUAAUUUCAUGUUUUUAUGCUUCCUAAAAAUUAAAAAAACCAAUUGAACUUGGUGCCAAAAUAUUCUUGCUAUUAACUAUAUGGUACAGAAAAUACUUCUUUCUUUUAUUAUAGAUAGCAUAAGUAA